rfam:Oryza rufipogon genomic scaffold, chr02
GAAAAGAUAAAUCCUGGAUUUCCGUGUCCAACGUUUAACUAUCCGUCUUAUAUGAAUUUUUUUAUAAUUAGUAUUUUCAUUGUUGUUAGAUGAUAAAACAUGAUUAAUACUUUAUGCAUGACUUUGUCUUUUUAAUUUUUUUCAUAUUUUUUUAAAUAAGACGGACGGUCAAACGUUGUGCACGAAAACUCAUCGUUUGUCUUUUU